rnacentral:rRNA from 1 species
UACGAAGGGGGCUAGCGUUGCUCGGAAUCACUGGGCGUAAAGCGCACGUAGGCGGCUUUCUAAGUCAGGGGUGAAAUCCCGGAGCUCAACUCCGGAACUGCCCUUGAUACUGGAGAGCUUGAGUCCGGGAGAGGUGAGUGGAACUGCGAGUGUAGAGGUGAAAUUCGUAGAUAUUCGCAAGAACACCAGUGGCGAAGGCGGCUCACUGGCCCGGUACUGACGCUGAGGUGCGAAAGCGUGGGGAGCAAACAGG